CAUUUCUUAUAAAUAUUAUUAUGAGUAACACCUGCUCAAUGAACUUUUUAAUAGCCGCAGAAUUUUUACUGUGCUAAGGUAGCAUAGUCAUUAGCCCCUUAAUUAGGGGCUCGCAUGAAAGGUGAAACAUUUCAUUUACUUUAUUAAUUAAUAUUUUUUAAAUUAAAUUAAGAAUAAAAAUGUUCUUAUAAUUAUAAAAGACGACAAGACCCUUUUGAACUUAACUCUAGUUUAGCUGGGGCAGCUAAGAAAAAAUAAUUUUUCUUUUCUUUUUUCAAUUAAUAAUCCAAUAAAAUUGAAUAAUUGAACAAGUUACCAUAGGGAUAACAGCGUAAUACCCCUUUAAAGUUCUUAUUCAAAGGGAAGAUUGCGACCUCGAUGUUGAAUUAAUGUAGCUUGCACGGUGCAACAACUUUAAAAGUGGGUCUGUUCGACCCUUAAUACAUUAC
rnacentral:rRNA from 1 species